AUCGCAGGUACCAACUCCAAUGUAUCUGCCUGAAACCAUGCACAGGAAGUCAAUCUUAGGCAGAGCACUGUAUCUGCCCCAAAAUGUUACCAGUGCCAAGGCUGAGAAACACUCCUCUGUAGGACAAAACACUCCUCUGAUGUAGGACAUCAGAAUCACUCAAGAUGUUGAUUGAAUAAAUCUAGGAUGAAGCCUGAGAAACUUUACUUUUUCAAAAUCUCCACAAGGGAUUCUGAUGUCCAGCCUGAGACCGUUUGAUGGACCUUCUACUACCUGGCCUUCUGUCAAACUGUAACUUAUCUGUGACACCAUUAGAAACUCAUAUUAAAAUGGAAGCUGUAGAAUUCAGUUGGCUGAUACCAUCAUGCCCUUCCCUUCAUUGGAAAAUGGCCCAAAAUGUUUCAUCUCUGCAGUCCUCUAAGGUCUUCUAUUUUUUUCUUGUUAUGCCAAAAGAAACAUUUUAUGAGAAAAGUCAUAGGAUUUAUAUGUUCUCUGAACUAGAGUUUUACUAGAAAUUUAUGUGAAAUCGACCUAUGUGUGGACUCUUGGGACAAGAUCACGAAUAAACAGUCCUGAUGGAACUGAAUAUACCAGUCAUUCAGAGAAAAGAGCAGAAAGAGGUCAUAAUCAGACACCUGAGCCUCAUUUAAAUAGGAAGCCCAGACCUCAGGAAGAGCUACAGCAAAUGUUUGCUAUUAAAAGAGGGUCCCAAGGACUUCAGCUACUUGGCAUAGGCCUGCAUCCCACUCCACACACACAGGGGAAUGACAUUUCCCAGAGGGUACUGCUGAGGGGGCCUUUGUCUCAGUUCUCACUUAGAGAGCUGAAAGUCAAUAUGGUGGGACACUUCUCAGAGGUCUCAGUAGCAUGGAACAUUGUGUCAAACUGGGUGACCAUGUACAAGGAGUGGCCUGAAGUUAUUUGACUGAAGGAAUCCCUGCUCCCCGGUGAAGUCCAGUUACCACAAAGACAAGACCGCCCUGUACCAGUCUGGGGUAAAUGAAAGGCAUCAGCAAAGCUGGAGGUUGUAGGUCAGCAGCAAGUCCCAGGAAAAUGUGCCUGGAAGUCACAGAAUAUCAGCAAGGUCAAAGGGAAGCAGGAGCUGGGCCUAAGCAGAGCUGUGCAGAACUAGAGUGGCUUCAGAAGACACAACAGCAAAGACCCAAAAGGACAUCAGUAUGCACCCACUGGUGGAAAUGGGAUGACAACUUCAUUUGUGUGCAAUGAAAAGGCCGUGGUCCUGCAUGCAUGCACCUGGGUGCACAUUGUGGGGUUGGGGGGUUGUGGAGAACAUUUAUUCUCCCCCCAUUUUAACAGAGACAAGGAGGUGGCAGAGGCCCCAUCCUGGCACAGAAUCAAGAGCCUGUGGAUCACGUCUCCGAGGAAGGCAUGAGGAGAAGAAUGUUUUCUGUGCUUUGUCAGAGUUCACGCUCACUCCUUGGCCAUCUUGAGCCUGAACUAUUGUGGAAUAAAAUACCCGGAAAAUGACGGAAGAGAUUUUGCCCAAGGUUAAGGGGACAUGCCUGCUCUGAUCAUAUCUGGCCAUGGAGGGAAUGCCUAUGAAACUAAGAGGAAAGUGACUGCUUAGAAAAGGAGAAACAAAGAGAGAGAGAAAGUGAGAGAAAGAGAAAAGGGAUAGGAUUCUCCUUUUAGAUAAACCAGAAUUACUAGGACAGACUUAUAUGAAUUUCUAAAUCUCAGCAGCUCUUCUAUUCUUGCCUUAAUUGAGUCUUUUCUUGUUACAAAGAAUAAAGAGAAACUUCAAUGACACUUCAGUUGAACAGACAUGAGAUAGGUAAGCUAGAACAUAAAUAAAGGCAACACAUUUAGAACUGGGGUUCACAGAGAAAUAGAUGCACCUGCAUUUGGAAAUCAGGCCUUCUAGAGAAGUAGAAUAUCAUGAAACAUUCACCCAGUCCCAGUAACCUGGAUAUCCAGUGAUCUCUUUAGCAGCUGUCAAUCAUUGCUGCUGCGUGCUCUCCCUUUCUGGCUCUCAGCUACUUGCUGGCCAGCACACAUGGACUGAUUGCUACUCACCUUAGGGCUUCUGCCAACUGUGGCUUCCACCUAUUCGCUUCUCUCUGCUUCUCACUUGCUGUUCCUUAACUGUCUUCCAGAUGUUCUUCCCCAACUGUCUUAUAGGUGCUUUGAGAUGCUGCCAACAGAUGCUGUUGUGUCUAUUCAAACUCCCUAAAGUGCAGAUCUGAACACUCAAUGGCAAAGUUUGGAGCCAUCACCAACUCAUCCUGCUCAUUCACUGGGGGCCAGUCAGGACAGCAGGGUUACAGCAUUUCUAGAGCUGUUUGCAGUUGCUUGCUGGAGCAGCAGGGGCCUGGGCAUAUCAGUCCAUGGUCUCUGCAUUAGGAAGACAGCAUAAUGCAUGGGAAUGUAGAUAUCAUAGAAAAUAAGCAGAUCAGUGUCACAUGCUCAGAAAACACUAUUACAGUAAGAGAGAGUAUCAUCCUCCCAUUAGAAAGAAAACACACACACACAUACACACACUUGAUAAUAGAAGGUGAUAUUCCAAGGAUCUUGGUGUGGAUAGAAUUGCUGUGUACACUACAGAAAGGAGAAAUUUUCUGGUUCCUUCAGAGAUGGAGGAGAAGGAAAAGAAAGAGGAGUAGAAGACAUGAGUAGUAUUACCAGACUCACAAAAUGUUUAGCGUGAGAACUCUGUGAAACUGGUGAAGGACUUGAGUUCACUUGAAUUCACACCUCAUUUGAUGAGAAGAAACACAUACAGAACCAGAAAUAGAGACAAAGAGAAAGUAUUUUGAACAAACAGUGUUAUACUUAACAAUUUGACAAAGUAGAAGUCUCCAUAAGACAGAAUAUUUUAUUGAACACAUACUGAUUACUCAUUAAGCAUACAAUCCUCUAGGAAAUACCUUACAUUCCUUGUCAUAGGUAAUUCUCUUAACCCCAUGAGAUACAGAUCCUGAAUUUACAGAAGAAUCUGAGGCUCAGAGCAGUUACGUAACUUGCAUGAGGUCACAUAGCUGUAAGUGUUGGUGCUGUCUUUAUUUGUGUCAUUAAAGUUCUUUGGCAUAUGGACUCACUAGAGAUGUCUUUUUUUCUUUGCCUUUUUAAUGAUAUAAAAUUUACAGCUGAGGCGCAGUGGCUCAUGCCUCUAAUCCCAGCACUUUGAGAGGUGGAGGCAGGCAGACUGCCUGAGCUCAGGAGUUCGAGACCAUCCCAGGCAACAUGACAAAACCCUGUCUCUACAAAAUAUACAAAAAUUAGCCUGGCGUGGUGGUGCGCACUUGUGAUCUCAGAUAUUUG
rnacentral:lncRNA from 10 species